AUUGAACGCUGGCGGCAGGCCUAACACAUGCAAGUCGAGCGGAUGAAGAGAGCUUGCUCUCUGAUUUAGCGGCGGACGGGUGAGUAAUGCCUAGGAAUCUGCCUGGUAGUGGGGGAUAACGUUCCGAAAGGAACGCUAAUACCGCAUACGUCCUACGGGAGAAAGCAGGUGCACUUCGGGCCUUGCGCUAUCAGAUGACCCUAGGUCGGAUUAGCUAGUUGGUGGGGUAAUGGCUCACCAAGGCGACGAUCCGUAACUGGUCUGAGAGGAUGAUCAGUCAGACUGGAACUGAGACACGGUCCAGACUCCUACGGGAGGCAGCAGUGGGGAAUAUUGGACAAUGGGCGAAAGCCUGAUCCAGCCAUGCCGCGUGUGUGAAGGAGGUCUUCGGAUUGUAAAGCACUUUAAGUUGGGAGGAAGGGCAGUAAGUUAAUACCUUGCUGUUUUGACAUUACCGACAGAAUAAGCACCGGCUAACUUCGUGCCAGCAGCCGCCGUAAUAC
rnacentral:rRNA from 1 species